CGAUGUGGGGGCCAUCUGGCAGCCACCUCUGUCACCUCAUCGACCACCAGGGUUGAUUCCGUUGAUACGGCUGGCUAGGAAUCAUCCUAGGUCCCCAUCCUCCCUCCCCCGCCCGCUCCAUGCAUACCCCUCGCAAAGCGCAUGCUCAGUCAAAGAGGGCGACCUUCCCUUAAUGGAGGAGAAGCUGUCUUCGGCCAAGGGUGUAGGAGUAGCUGAGCUCUCCUGCUAGAACCUCCAAACAAGCUCUCGAGACAGAUGAGGCUUUAGCAAGCAGCUUUCAAAGUCCUUUAUUUCGAUGCUGGAGGAUCAGACCAGUGACGGUCCUGUUUGU
rnacentral:snRNA from 14 species